CCUACGGGAGGCAGCAGUGAGGAAUAUUGGACAAUGGGCGCAAGCCUGAUCCAGCCAUGCCGCGUGCAGGAAGACGGUCCUAUGGAUUGUAAACUGCUUUUGUACAGGAAGAAACACUCCCUCGUGAGGGAGCUUGACGGUACUGUAAGAAUAAGGAUCGGCUAACUCCGUGCCAGCAGCCGCGGUAAUACGGAGGAUCCAAGCGUUAUCCGGAAUCAUUGGGUUUAAAGGGUCCGUAGGCGGUUUAAUAAGUCAGUGGUGAAAUCUGGUCGCUCAACGAUCAAACGGCCAUUGAUACUGUUAGACUUGAAUUAUUAGGAAGUAACUAGAAUAUGUAGUGUAGCGGUGAAAUGCUUAGAUAUUACAUGGAAUACCAAUUGCGAAGGCAGGUUACUACUAAUGGAUUGACGCUGAUGGACGAAAGCGUGGGGAGCGAACAGGAUUAGAUACCCUGGUAGUCCACGCCGUAAACGAUGGAUACUAGCUGUUCGGAGCAAUCUGAGUGGCUAAGCGAAAGUGAUAAGUAUCCCACCUGGGGAGUACGUUCGCAAGAAGAGAAGUAAAGUAAGUAGUAGACGNGAGAGAGCGACGACGACGACGAGGGAGGAGG
rnacentral:rRNA from 1 species